rnacentral:rRNA from 1 species
UAUCAAUAAGCGGAGGAAAAGAAACCAACAGGGAUUGCCCUAGUAACGGCGAGUGAAGCGGCAACAGCUCAAAUUUGAAAUCUGGCCUUCGGGUCCGAGUUGUAAUUUGCAGAGGAUGCUUUUGGUGAGGUGCCUUCCGAGUUCCCUGGAACGGGACGCCAUAGAGGGUGAGAGCCCCGUCUGGUCGGACACCAAUCCUUUGUAAAGCUCCUUCGACGAGUCGAGUAGUUUGGGAAUGCUGCUCUAAAUGGGAGGUAUAUGUCUUCUAAAGCUAAAUACCGGCCAGAGACCGAUAGCGCACAAGUAGAGUGAUCGAAAGAUGAAAAGCACUUUGAAAAGAGAGUUAAACAGUACGUGAAAUUGUUGAAAGGGAAGCGCUCAUGACCAGACUUGGGCUUGGUUGAUCAACUUGGGUUCUCCCGGGUGCACUCUUCCUCGUCCAGGCCAGCAUCAGUUCGCUGCGGGGGAUAAAGGUUUCGGGAAUGUGGCUCCCUCGGGAGUGUUAUAGCCCGUUGCGUAAUACCCUGCGGUGGACUGAGGUCCGCGCAUCUGCAAGGAUGCUGGCGUAAUGGUCAUCAGCGACCCGUCUUGAAACACGGACCAAGGAGUCGUCUUCGUAUGCGAGUGUUCGGGUGUUAAACCCCUACGCGGAAUGAAAGUGAACGCAGGUGAGAGCUUCGGCGCAUCAUCGACCGAUCCUGAUGUUCUCGGAUGGAUUUGAGUAAGAGCAUACGGGGCCGGACCCGAAAGAAGGUGAACUAUGCCUGUAUAGGGUGAAGCCAGAGGAAACUCUGGUGGAGGCUCGCAGCGGUUCUGACGUGCAAAUCGAUCGUCAAAUAUGGGCAUGGGGGCGAAAGACUAAUCGAACCUUCUAGUAGCUGGUUUC